AAAUGAGAAACCAUUGCCCCCACACAGUUCUCCAAGGCCUGGUAUAUUUCAGUUCUCCAUCCUCGUGGACAGAGCUCCAGCUCAGACUAAAUGUACAAAGUUGCUGAAGCCCUGAGCAUCCUGCUGGGAACAGCACAGACCACAGACAGGCUUCACCUUCCGAGGAGCUCAAGCCAGCAGUCUUCCUCCAAGGCAACAUCCUCCAGCCAGAAUCCUAUGGAGCAGCAGCGUGCACAUGUACAUGGCUUUACCAGUUGGCCUGUGGCUGCACACUCGUGAAAUGUUGCUUGAAGUGCUAAAGGCUCAGUUAAGAACCACCUGGAAAUCUGCACAGUUUGCUGACUUUUAUUCUUCUAAGUGAGAUUAAUAUAGUACCUGUAAGCAUCAUAAAAAAAGUUUUCUUGCAGUAUCUGUACGUCUGUCUGAGAUUUAUCACAAGAGCUGGAUUUCUUGGUAGUGGGUAGCUUUUCCUUUCCCUGGUACACGUUGCUGAGAGAGCUGAGGUUAUUCUGCUAUACAUCCCUUAGGUAAAGAUCUUCAUAGUUCCUGAGUUGUCUUUCCAGAGCUGAUGCAUUCCAUUUAGAAACCAGUUUUAUGAAAACUGCCCUCCUUAUAUUUAUUUUUUGCACUUGUUAAAUGAAUGUCAUUGCUCCCCUUCUCCACUUAGUGAUCUCUAAUUGAUUACCUUCUGAAUUGUGUAAAGAGUGGCUGUGAUACUUUCUCUCUUUUUCAACAUAUUUUCUGCCUGUAUUUAUGCUAUAUUUGGUGCCACUCCUAUGUGAAAUCUGAAACAUCCUCAUGUUAAUGUCAUUUCCAAGUUAAAUCUUGAUAUAUCAUAGCUUAUUUCCUGAGAACUGGUGCUUUGGGCUUUACUCUUCAGAAGAUCUAGAAUAUAUUCUAGUAUCAAUUUUUUGCUAUCUCUGAAACACAGUCAUCAAAGCUUCAGUUCAAGUGCACUUGCCUGUUUUCCCAAAUGUAGAUGAGAGUUUUAAUAUAACAGGUUGGAAAAUACAAAUAAAAUUGUCUUUCUGUUAAUUCUAGUACCUUCUCAUUUAUUUUCAAAUACAUGUAAUCAAUAUCAUAUAUCACAUAACAGUAAAAUAAGCAAAUUAUUAAAAAUACCGUAUGUGAUUCAACUGUGAUUGUGUGCAUGUGGUUUA